CUGAACACAAUAUAAACCGGUGCAAUCGAAAAACGAUUCUGACUAGUAACCUGGUAAUUAUUAUUAGUCGUGUGUUGCGUAUAUAUUUUGCGAUCACAAUAACCGAUAAAUAUAUGAGAAUAAAACCCAUUCAUCUUCAUUACGUAGUUGGUUUUUUUUUUUUUUUUUUUUAUUAAGAAAACCCAUUCAUAUAAUGUACCCC